rnacentral:tRNA from 1 species
GCCAGGGUGGCGGAAUUGGCAGACGCGCCAGACUUAGGAUCUGGUGCUGAGAAGCGUGCAGGUUCGAGUCCUGUCCCUGGCA